UACGAAGGGGGCUAGCGUUGUUCGGAAUUACUGGGCGUAAAGCGCGCGCAGGCGGCUAUCCAAGUCAGUGGUGAAAGCCCGGAGCUCAACUCCGGAACUGCCAUUGAAACUGUUUAGCUUGAGGAUGAGAGAGGUGAGUGGAAUUCCCAGUGUAGAGGUGAAAUUCGUAGAUAUUAGGAAGAACACCGGUGGCGAAGGCGGCCAUCUGGCUCGGUACUGACGCUCAGGCGCGAAAGCGUGGGGAGCAAACAGG
rnacentral:rRNA from 1 species